UUUAAAUAGUUUAUUAUAAAAUAAUGAUUUGUGGAGUCAUAGAUAUACAUAUAGUAUUUUAAAUAA
rnacentral:tRNA from 1 species